GACGAACGCUGGCGGCGUGCUUAACACAUGCAAGUCGAACGGAACCGCCCUGCUUGCAGGGUACUCGGUUGGUAAACGGGUGAGUAACACGUUUGUGAUCUGCCCUGCACUUCGGGAUAGGUCUGGGAAACUGGGUCUAAUACCGGACAGGAGCCAUUUUUCGUUUGAUUGGUGGAGAGUUUUUUGGGUGUUGGAUGAGCUCGCGGCCUAUCCGCUUGUUGGUUGGGUAAAGGCCUACCGAGGCGGCGCGGGGUCGCCGGUCGGUGGAGGUGGACGGCCACCUGGGGAACUAGAAACGGCCCAGACCCCUACGGGAGGCAGCAGGGGGGAAUAUGGCACAAUGGGCGCAAGCCUGAUGCAGCGACGCCGAGUGGGGGGUGACGGCCGUCGGGUUGUAAACUCCUUUCGCUAGGGACGAAGCAUUUUGUGACGGUACCUAGAUAAGAAGCACCGGCUAACUACGGG
rnacentral:rRNA from 1 species